GCCAAUGUCAGAAAAAGGAUUCUGCUGUCGGUCCCACUCCAAAUGUCUCAGAAUGGGUGGUGGGCACAGAAUCCGGACUCUGCUUGUGGC
rnacentral:pre_miRNA from 12 species